UGUGGGACCCAUCAGAGCUGGGCCCGGAUGGGGUGUGUCCGAAGAGUGGGCACAGAGUGAGCAUGGAGGUAAUGGUCACUGGCCAUGGGGUUUGGGACAAAGGGAACGGAAGACCACCUGCUCCUUCUUAUGCAGGUGCCUUAGUAUCUGUGAGUGGGACUGCCAGCCCAGCUCAAACUGGGUCUUCCAUACUGUGGUGGUUUGAAAGAAAUUGGCCCCAAAGGGAGUGGCCCUAUUGGAGGUGUGGCCUUGUUGGAGUGGGUGUGGUCUUGUUGGAGGAAGUGUGUCAACGUGGAGGUGGACUUUGAGGUCUCAUAUAUGCUCAAGCCAAGCCACACUCAGUGAGUGUCUCAGACUGCUGCUUCCUGUUGCCUGUGAGUCAAGAUGUAGGACUCUCAGCUAUUUCCAGCACCAUGUCUGCCUGCAUGCUGCCUCGCUCCGUACCAUGAUGAUAAUGGACUAAACCUCUGAAACUGUAAGACGCCAUCUCAAUUAAGUGUUUUCCUGUGUAAGAGUUGCUGUGGUCAUGAUGUCUCUUCACAGAAAUAGAAACCCUAACUAAGACACAUACUAAGGCCGUCGCAUGUGGUUGGGGAGGUAACUGUGUGUUUCUGGUGACAGCAGGGACGUAGGCCAACUCAGGAGGGAUAAUAACUUCUAAGCUGUGUUGUUAGGCAGAAAGAGGUGAAUUAUUUUCUGUUCGCUGAAGGCCAGUGGCCUUCAGUAGGGGUAGAGCUGUGGACCUCACACACCUCCGCAGUCAGAAUGUAGUAGUUGAUGUAGAUGCAUUAGAGAUACCAGGGAGAUGGGGGAUCAAACAUGAGGUCAAACAGAGCGAAGCUGACAACAGAUGGGCGUGUCUUUGCUCAGGUGGUUCCUGUGGCCCAACUGUCCUUAGAAUGCUGAGGUUUGCUUCUGGGCUCAGCGUGGACACCUCUCCUCUGUGCUGCUUUCUUUCUAGGCAUCCUUUGUGGAUUGGAGAGUUAAUGAAAACAUUUUCAUUUAAACUCUUCACUUUGCAUGUUUUAACUGUCUACAGAAGUAACAUAGAGAGCAGAGCAUAGUGUAAUGACCCCACUCCUCCCCUGGAACUGUCCAGCCUGAGGAAUGAUUGAUUUGUCAUUUCUCUGGUUUAUUUAUGCACUCUGAAGUGUUUAAACGAAACCUCAGGUGUCAUAUUGUUUUACGUAUAAAUUCUUCAGUACAUGUCUCUAGUAGAGAAAGACCUUUGAAAAACCACAACCAUAAUAAUAUUGUGGUCACGUGUAACGAGAUGAGCAAUUUCACAGUAACUUCUGGUUCGUGUCCAGGUUGCUCUUCUCCCAGAAAUGCCUUUUUAAAGUACUGUUUUAAAUUUAUGAGUAUGUGUGAACUCUGUGUGUGUGUGUGUGUGUGUGUGUGUGUGUGUGUGUGUGUGUGUACAUUGGGUGCCUACUCUACCACACUCUGCUUGAUUUCCUUAAGGCAGGUCUCUCACUGAACCUGGAGUGAAGCUGGAGGUGAGCAAGCCCCAUGUGAUCCUCCUGUCUCCACCAGGUUCACAAUGCUGGGGUUAGAGGUGUACGACACCACAUCUGGCUUUUUACCUGGAAUCUGGGAAUUCCUGGAAUCUGAGGAAAUCCAGGUCCUCAGUUUAAGCCAUCUCCCCAGCCCUGAGAUUUAUCUAUUUAUAGUUAGUUUGUUCCAACCUGGAUCCAAACAUUGUAUUUAUAUAUGUAUGUAUGUAUUACAUUUUGCUGACAUUCCCUGAGUCUUUUAGAAUCCAUAACAUUUCUUCUCUCUUCCUUUGUUUUAUUUUUUAUUUAGUUAUUCACUUGUUGGAGAGCUGGAUCAUUUAUCCUGUAGAAUUUCCACAUUCAGGUUUGGCUGAUUGCCCCCUCAAAGUGCUAUUUAAUGGGAAAUGCAUUCAGAUGACUCACAAUUCAAAAUAUACAAUAUUUGAAACAGACAAAAUGACCCUUGUUCCUCAGGUACCCAAUUUCCCUGCCUGGAGGCAAUCAUCAUUUCUUGUCUAUCUUCCCAGAGCUAUCUUCCUAUAAUUUAAUCACUCUGUCUUUAUUCCUGCCAUAGAUGAUAGUUAGUUACACAUCUUUUCUCAUACUCUUGCUUCUCUUACAUUGGAGAUUGGGGCUCUCGGUUUGUAUAUUUAAUCUUCAGCAAUAAUGCCUAGGAUGGGGCUGGAGAGAUGGCUCAGUGGUUAAGGGCACUUGGCUUUUCUUCCAGAGGACCCAGGUUCAAUAUCCAGCACCCACACAGCAGCUCACAGCUGUCUGUAAUGCUUACACCAAUGCACAUAAAAUAAAAUUAUACCAGCCUUUUUCUUUUGGGUCACCAACCAGCUCCCAAAUCAUAACAUGGAGACUUAUUAGUUUUGAGUGCCCGGCUUUAGCUUAGUUCAUUUCUGGCUAGCUCUUUUGGCUUAAAUUAACCUGUUUCUCUUUAUCUUCCUUUUGCCUUGGGGUUUUUUACUUUCCUUCUCUGUAUCCUACUUUCACUGCUUCUCAUGUGUGCUGGCUGUUGGCUCUCUGGCUUCUGGCUCCGGGUGUGUCCCCUAUUCUCUCCUCUUCUCCUUCUUCUUCUCUUGUUCCUCCUUCAUUCCUCUGGAGCUUGGAUUUCUGCUCUUAUUUAUUCUUUCCCUGCCAGCCCUGCCUAUCCUCUCUUUGCCUGGCUAUGGGCCAUUCAGCUCUUUAUUAGACGCAUCACGUGCCCUACGCAGGCAAGGUAAAAUAAAUGCAACACAUCUUUUCAUGAUUAAACAAAGGCAGCAGAAACAAAAUUGACACACCUUUACACAGUUAAAGUAACAUUCUGUAGCAUAAACAAAUGUGACACAUCUUUGCCUAGUUAAUAUUCCACAACAUAAAAUUAAAUAAAUUAUUAAAAAAAAACCCCAAUGCCUAGAAUAGAAUGGGUUUAAUGUCUGUCUCAGUGUCAGCUUAUGCCCUUGCCUUUGGAGAGGCCACAGAAAGAGUCUAAGGUUUUCAUCCAGAAUCCUGAGGUUGUACCUUUGCUUUGGGAAGGUCAUCCAGCCCUGUGGAGUGGCUCUUUUCCUUGUCUGUAAACUAGAGAUGGUGAUCACCGUUGGAGUCAGUGAAAGAUAAAGCAAAUGUGAAGCCCGAGGAAAGCACCCCAGCAGUAGAAAGCAGAAGUCAAGAGAUCCACGUGGUGGCUCUCACCAGCUCCUGCUGCUGGAGUUGCCUCUUGGCCUCGGAGCCUGAGUCUGGGGCCAGGCUGCUGCUGGGGUGGGCCUGAGGGGUGAAGAGGAGGAAGGAGGGCCACAGAGCUUCUAUCCCCAGAAGUUCCUUCUCUACCUGAUCCAUCAGACAAGCACUUAAUUCAGCAAACGUCUGGCAUUUAUAUUCCCCAAUGAAGGGGUGAGUGGACCCGCCGAGGAUGUUAGCCUUUUGCUUCUGGAAGGAGAAUCAACUCUUCAGCUGUUGAACAACUGCUUGUGUUGAGGACAGUUCUCCCUCCAGCCUAGAGAACGGAUUCUAAGGAUCUUGGUUUGCAAAGGGGAACUGUAGCAAUGUGUGGCUCUUCAGGAAUAUUCUCUGAGAUGUGAGCACCAUCCUGCCCAAACCAUUUUUUUUCUGUUCUUUCUUUCUCUCUUUCUUUCUUUCUUUCUUUCUUUCUUUCUUUCUUUCUUUCUUUCUUUCUUUCUUUCUUUCUUUCUUCUCCUCCUCCUCCUCUUCCCCCUCUUCCUCCCCUCCUCCCUCUCUUCCUCCCCUCCUCCCCCUUCUCCUCCCCUCCUUCUCCCCUUCUUCUCCUCCUCCCCCCCUUUCCCCCUCCUCCUCCUCUUUCCCCUUCCUCCUUCUUUUUUGUUUUUUUGAGACAGGGUUUCUCUGUGUAGCUCUGACUGUCCUGGAACUCAUUUUGUAGACCAGGCUGGCCUCGAACCCACAGAGAUCCGUCUGCCUCUGCCUCCUGAGUGCUGGGAUUAAAGGCGUGCACCACCACCACCCAGCCCAAACCAUUUUUCUAUUCAACUGUCCCUCUAGCUGACUUGAAUUAACCCAUUUUAUGCCUGGUGCUGCAUGAGGCUCAGAAGAUAUACAGGGAAGGAGACUCAAUCUCUGCCCUCUCUCGUCACUCCUGCUGUGUGCUAGGGGAGGAAAGGCAGGCAUGUAAGACAGCUCUGUCUUCUUUGCAGCUCUGCUCUGUGGGCUGGAGUGUUUGACCCACGUCAGCAACUGGCUCCCAGUAGACUAGGGUGGGUGGGUGCCUGCUGGAGAAAGCCUCAUCUGCAGCAAGGGGACUGUGUGGAUUGUUCCACAGUUCCUCUGCAUAUGCAGUGCCUGUCCACCUGGUGUGGAUCCUAUUCUGUGGAUUUUCGCGCUCUGUGCCCCAGAGACCUCCUUUUCCUGCUUCCCGUGGUUAUCAUGAGCGUUUGCCUGCGAACAUUCUGCAGAGAGGACAAUUGAAUCCUCGCUAUCUCUGUGACUGGCUCUCUCAGCGUCUGUGAUAAAUUCCACAUGUAAUGUGCUGGGGUGGGGUCACCUGAGGAUUGGUUUCCUGGGGUGAGGGAGGCAGUCUAUGAUUGAGCUGGCAUCUCCUUUCUGGCCUCUGUGUCCCCCAAGUCUUCCUGAGCACCAUAAAUCAGUGUGGUUCUCUGUAGGGGUCCCGAGCCUGAAGCCUUUGUGAUCCGGGGAUUGGUCAACAGGACCAACUGCCUUGCUGUAGUCUGGGAGACUCAGGGGACACUGUCUUCCCUUGGGGGGAAGCAUGGUGGGACUGCAGCUUUUCCCUGGAGACUGGCUCACCUGUGGUGGCCUCUCCGUAGGCCCAAGGACAUGCCAGUACCUACUUAUUUGGUCUAGGCUCUUCAGUGGCCUGUGGACUGUGGCCAUUAAUGGCACCCUGUUUUGUCAUUUCUGCAAACAGACUUUGUUUUUUAAAACAUGUGAAACAUUUAAGAACUGAUACUGAUAAAAUUGCAGUUUUGAACUCAUUUUUUUUCUUUAAAUAAAAAAUUAGACUUAUUCAUUUUA